UACGUAGGGGGCAAGCGUUGUCCGGAUUUAUUGGGCGUAAAGCGUGCGCAGGCGGCUUUGCAAGACAGAUGUGAAAUCCCCGGGCUUAACCUGGGAACUGCAUUUGUGACUGCAUGGCUAGAGUGCGGCAGAGGGGGAUGGAAUUCCGCGUGUAGCAGUGAAAUGCGUAGAUAUGCGGAGGAACACCGAUGGCGAAGGCAAUCCCCUGGGCCUGCACUGACGCUCAUGCACGAAAGCGUGGGGAGCAAACAGG
rnacentral:rRNA from 1 species